rnacentral:misc_RNA from 1 species
GGAGUGUGUAACAACUCACCU